rnacentral:tRNA from 1 species
AGGGAUAUAGCUCAGUUGGUAGAGCACAGACCUUGUAUGUCUGUGCAGGCUUUGAUCCCUA